rnacentral:rRNA from 1 species
AGCAGCCGCGGUAAUUCCAGCUCCAAUAGCGUAUAUUAAAGUUGUUGCAGUUAAAAAGCUCGUAGUUGAAUUUCGGGGUCAGUAGGUUGGUCGUGCCACAGGUACGUACUGGUCUCACUGAUUCCUCCUUCCUGAUGAACCGUAAUGCCAUUAAUUUGGUGUUGCGGGGAAACUGGACUGUUACUUUGAAAAAAUUGAGUGUUUAAAGCAGGCUAACGCUUGAAUACAUUAGCAUGGAAUAAUGAAAUAGGACGUUCGAUCCUAUUUUGUUGGUUUCUAGGAUUGACGUAAUGAUUAAUAGGGAUAGUUGGGGGCAUUAGUAUUCAAUUGUCAGAGGUGAAAUUCUUGGAUUUAUUGAAGACUAACUACUGCGAAAGCAUUUGCCAAGGAUGUUUUCAUUAAUCAAGACGAAAGUUAGGGGAUCGAAGACGAUCAGAUACCGUCGUAGUCUUAACCAUAAACUAUGCCGACUAGGGAUCGGAUGAUGUUAUUUUAAUGACUCAUUCGGCGCCUUACGGGA